AGCUUGGUGGAAAAUAAUUGCAGUUUUGCCAUUAAAACUAAUGCACAAACUGCAAUUACUUUUGCACCAAUCU
rnacentral:pre_miRNA from 1 species